UGCCAGCCGCCGCGGUAAUACGAAGGGGGCUAGCGUUGUUCGGAAUAACUGGGCGUAAAGCGCACGUAGGCGGAUUGUUAAGUUAGGGGUGAAAUCCCAGGGCUCAACCCUGGAACUGCCUCUGAUACUGGUCUUGAGUUCGAGAGAGGUGAGUGGAAUUCCAAGUGUAGAGGUGAAAUUCGUAGAUAUUUGGAGGAACACCAGUGGCGAAGGCGGCUCACUGGCUCGAUACUGACGCUGAGGUACGAAAGUGUGGGGAGCAAACAGGAUUAGAUA
rnacentral:rRNA from 1 species